GGACUACAAGGGUAUCUAAUCCUGUUUGCUCCCCACGCUUUCGAGCCUCAGCGUCAGUAAAAGCCCAGCAAGCCGCCUUCGCCACUGGUGUUCCUCCUAAUAUCUACGCAUUUCACCGCUACACUAGGAAUUCCGCUUGCCUCUACUUCACUCAAGAACUUCAGUUUCAAAUGCAGGUUGCAAGUUGAGCCUGCACGUUUCACAUCUGACUUAAAGUCCCGCCUACACUCCCUUUACACCCAGUAAUUCCGGACAACGCUUGCCACCUACGUAUUACCGCGGCUGCUGGCAC
rnacentral:rRNA from 1 species